rnacentral:rRNA from 1 species
AGCCCGCCUCUAGCUCCGUCACUUGCAAACCAAAUCCCCCCACCAAGUAAAUUAAAACAUUUUUCUACCCAACCUAGUAUAGGUGAUAGAAAGGUAAUACAGAACGCAAUAGAGAAACGUACCGUAAGGAAAAGAUGAAAUAAUAAUGAAAACAAAGCACUAAAAAGCAAAGAUCAGCCCUUGUACCUUUUGCAUCAUGACUUAGCAAGAACUAACCCAAGCAAAACGAACUUUCAGUUUGCCCUCCCGAAACCCAAGCGAGCUACUCACAAGCAGCUAUCCACUGAGCCAACCCAUCUCUGUUGCAAAAGAGUGGGAUGACUUGAUGACUUGUUAGUAGAGGUGAAAAGCCAAUCGAGCUGGGUGAUAGCUGGUUGCCUGCGAAAUGAAUCUCAGUUCUCCCUUGAUCUAUCUCCACGGACAUUACCCAACCCCUAUGAAAUAAAUCAAGAGUUAUUUAAAGGGGGUACAGCCCCUUUAAACCAAAAAACACUUUCCCAAAGCGGAUAAGCCCCAUAUACCUCCAUUGUGGGCCUUUAAGCAGCCACCAACAAUGAAUGCGUCAAAGCUCUACAGCCCAAAAAUUCAAACACCAUGCAACUCCCUCCCACAUAGCAGGCUAAUCUAUUGUAAUAGAAGCACUAAUGCUAAGAUGAGUAACUAAGGUAAACCCUCUAUAGCACCAACCUACAUCCUCACAUUAUUAACAAACCAAAAUUAAUACACUAACUUCUACAAGCCUACAUAUAACAAACCACUGUUAACCCGACCAGAGGAGUGCGCAAUAAGAGAGAUUAAAACCUGCGAAAGGAACUAGGCAAACCCAAGGCCCGACUGUUUACCAAAAACAUAGCCUCCAGCUAAACCAAGUAUUGGAGGUGAUGCCUGCCCAGUGACAUAACGUUUAACGGCCGCGGUAUCCUAACCGUGCAAAGGUAGCACAAUCAAUUGUCCCAUAAAUCGGGACCUGUAUGAAUGGCUAAACGAGGUCUUAACUGUCUCUCGCAGAUAAUCAGUGAAAUUGAUCUUCCCGUGCAAAAGCAGGAAUAACUACACUAGACAAGAAGACCCUGUGGAACUUAAGAACUAGCAGUCACUCUCCUACACAUUUAAUCCACCGGACCCACACUCACAGAAAAACUGACCUGCAUUCUUCGGUUGGGGCGACCUUGGAGAAAAACAUACCCUCCAAAAAUAAGACCACCCCUCUUAACUUAGAACAACCCCUCUACGUACAAACAGUAACCAGACCCAAUACAAAAAUUGAUCAAUGAAACAAGCUACCCCAGGGAUAACAGCGCAAUCUCCUCCAAGAGCCCCCAUCGACGAGGAGGUUUACGACCUCGAUGUUGGAUCAGGACAUCCUAGUGGUGUAGCCGCUACUAAGGGUUCGUUUGUUCAACGAUUAACAGUCCUACGUGAUCUGAGUUCAGACCGGAGUAAUCCAGGUCGGUUUCUAUCUAUGACAAGCUCUUUCCAGUACGAAAGGACAGAAAUAGCAAGACCUAUACCACAAGCACGUCUUCGCCCUAAGUAAUGCAAACAACUAAAUUACCAAGGGUUCUCACGCCAACAUCCUAGAAAAGGAUC